rnacentral:lncRNA from 1 species
CAAAGACAAGAAAGAUAAACAAGGUGCAGAUGGAGUGAUUUUCAUUUGUUGUUUUGCAGGCAGAGGCAGUCUCAGAUGGUUACCUGAACAUGAAAUGUUUUUCUCUGUGGAUAGUCGUUUUGAGGCGGACAAACAGUCCUAAUCUCAGCUAAUCAAUCAUGAGACAGAGAAUGGAAGUUGGACGUUCUGAGUCUGCCCAUGCCAGCAGGUUCAUGCAAAAGAGGCUAGUCACAGAAUCUACUAUCCUCCAUGGAGACAGACACCGCCAAGGACAAGCACCUGGAUUCAUCAUCUGGAAAUACAGGCUGGUGGGAAAGCUGCUGACCAGCAAGAUCACGGACUCCCUCCUCUCUGCAAGUAGUCUCAAGGCCAAAGACAGCCUGGUGGGAAAGCUCUGACCAGCAAAGCCAUAUGCUCCCCUUCCCCUACCUAAAACCCCAAAUAAAACCCUUCCUUUUAGUUUUCUGGGGAGUUUUGGAUUUCAGCAUUAGCUGCCCUCUCUCCUUGCUCAGUGCUGUGC